rnacentral:rRNA from 1 species
CACGUAGGGCGCAAGCGUUGUCCGGAAUUAUUGGGCGUAAAGAGCUCAUAGGCGGUCUGUUACGUCUGCUGUGAAAACCCGGGGCUUAACCCUGGGCUUGCAGUGGAUACGGGCAGACUAGAGGCAGGUAGGGGAGAAUGGAAUUCCCGGUGUAGCGGUGAAAUGCGCAGAUAUCGGGAGGAACACCGGUGGCGAAGGCGGUUCUCUGGGCCUGACCUGACGCUGAGGAGCGAAAGCGUGGGGAGCGAACAGG